rnacentral:rRNA from 1 species
UACAGAGGUCCCGAGCGUUGUUCGGAUUCACUGGGCGUAAAGGGUGCGUAGGCGGUCGGGUAAGUCUGACGUGAAAUCUUCAAGCUCAACUUGGAAACUGCGUCGGAUACUAUUCGGCUAGAGGAAUGGAGGGGAGACUGGAAUACUUGGUGUAGCAGUGAAAUGCGUAGAUAUCAAGUGGAACACCAGUGGCGAAGGCGAGUCUCUGGACAUUUCCUGACGCUGAGGCACGAAAGCCAGGGGAGCAAACGGG